GAUGCCUAGUACGGCGAGUGAGCGGCAACAGCUCAAAUUUGAAAUCUGGCGCAAGCCCGAGUUGUAAUUUGUAGAGGAUGCUUCUGGGCAGCGGCCGGUCUAAGUUCCUUGGAACAGGACGUCAUAGAGGGUGAGAAUCCCGUAUGCGACCGGCUUGCACCCGUCACGUAGCUCCUUCGACGAGUCGAGUUGUUUGGGAAUGCAGCUCUAAAUGGGAGGUAAAUUUCUUCUAAGGCUAAAUACCGGCCAGAGACCGAUAGCGCACAAGUAGAGUGAUCGAAAGAUGAAAAGCACUUUGGAAAGAGAGUUAAAAAGCACGUGAAAUUGUUGAAAGGGAAGCUCACGCAACCAGACUUGUCGGCGGUGUUCCGCCGGUCUUCUGACCGGUCUACUCGCCGCCGGCAGGCCAGCAUCACUUGGGAGCGCCGGAUAAAGGCGUGCGGAAUGUAGCCCCUCGGGGCAUUAUAGCCGCGCGCACAAUACGGCGCCUCCCGAGUGAGGUCCGCGCUUCGGCUAGGAUGCUGGCGUAAUGGUUGCUUGAGGCCCGUCUUGAAACACGGACCAAC
rnacentral:rRNA from 1 species